GUUGACUUUGCCAAAUAAGGCA
rnacentral:snRNA from 1 species